rnacentral:rRNA from 1 species
UACGUAGGGUGCAAGCGUUGUCCGGAAUUAUUAGGCGUAAAGAGCUCGUAGGCGGUCUGUCGCGUCGGAUGUGAAAAUCCAGGGCUCAACCCUGGACCUGCAUUCGAUACGGGCAGACUAGAGUUCGGCAGGGGAGACUGGAAUUCCUGGUGUAGCGGUGAAAUGCGCAGAUAUCAGGAGGAACACCGGUGGCGAAGGCGGGUCUCUGGGCCGAUACUGACGCUGAGGAGCGAAAGCGUGGGGAGCGAACAGG